rnacentral:rRNA from 1 species
CGCGGCCUAUCAGCUUGUUGGUGGGGUAACGGCCCACCAAGGCAUCGACGGGUAGCUGGUCUGAGAGGACGGUCAGCCACACUGGGACUGAGACACGGCCCAGACUCCUACGGGAGGCAGCAGCGGGGAAUAUUGCGCAAUGGGCGAAAGCCUGACGCAGCAACGCCGCGUGAGGGAUGAAGGCUCUCGGGUUGUAAACCUCUUUCAGCAGGGACGAUUGUGACGGUACCUGCAGAAGAAGCCCCGGCCAACUACGUGCCAGCAGCCGCGGUAAUACGUAGGGGGCGAGCGUUGUCCGGAUUUAUUGGGCGUAAAGAGCUCGUAGGUGGUUCGGUAAGUCGGGUGUGAAAACUCUGGGCCCAACCCAGAGACGCCACCCGAUACUGCUGUGACUUGAGUCUGGUAGGGGAGUGUGGAAUUCCCGGUGUAGCGGUGAAAUGCGCAGAUAUCGGGAGGAACACCAGUGGCGAAGGCGGCACUCUGGGCCAGAACUGACACUGAGGAGCGAAAGCGUGGGUAGCGAACAGGAUUAGAUACCCUGGUAGUCCACGCCGUAAACGUUGGGCACUAGGUGUGGGUCUCAACCAACGGGAUCCGUGCCGCAGCUAAGGCAUUAAGUGCCCCGCCUGGGGAGUACGG